UUCUUUAUCAUUAACAUUAUCAUCAUGUUAAUCACCUAUAAUUAUUUCUUGAACAUAGAAAAUUUGUUUGUUUUUUGUUUGUUUGUUUUGCUUAUAUUGGGAGGAGGAUGUUAUCAGAUUAAACAGUGAUUUUCCCUUGAGAAGUUUUCAGGAUAAUUGGAGCAGACUAUUUUUACUUAAAACCAAAGAUAGAUUGGCUACAUAUAACCUGCUCAAGUAGUGAGCAUUUUAGGUGAGAAGAAAUGUACUUUUCCUUUUAGGUUUGAGAGUAAAGCUGAAUCCCUAUUUUCUUGCUAUUAUUGGCGUUACAAUGAAUCACCACAGUACUUAUGUGUUCCAAAGAGUUCUUAGUUGAUUUCUCACUGCAACUUCUAUUUUACAGAUGAGAAAACUGAAGUUCAUUAGCAUCUAGGCAAGUCCUGACGAAGGUCGUGCCACUGGUAAACAGUGGAAUCAGGAUUUGAAUUCAGGUCUGGACUCUUUGUAUUCUGUCUGUGUGUCGGUUACAACCUUACUGUGGAGACUCAGCCGUGAAAGCAGAAGGAGGUGGAAGGUUAGCGGAAGCUGGAGAGGAAAAAAGGUGAAGAUCUUUUGAAGUUUUCCUGCUCAGCCAGGAAAACAUGGCUGCAGUUAUCAGGCGGCGUCUCCCCAUCUUCCUGGCACACCCCUCCAUGCCCUCCAUCACCACUGAGACCUACGGGAGGGACACCUGUUAUCGAGGAUGCCACCAGAUUAUGUGCAGGACCGACACACACCCACGCUCACCCUUGCUCACACAUGCUGCAGUUGUAUGCCUGGAAAAAGACAAAGAAGGCAAAACGGUGCUGCUGGCUAAGAUGAGGCUUCACUUCCUCAGAUUCUGCAGGUUUGUGUAAUGAACUGGAAAUCAACACACUCCAAAUAUCAAGGAACCAUUAGAACCUUGUUUAAACUGGGGGACACUCAUUUGUGUCAAGGAAAUCCAGAGGACAGGAGAGCCUGGCAACGAAUUCAUUCAUCCAUCCAUUGACCCAUUCAUUCAUCCAUCCUUUGACCCAUUCAUUCAUUCAUCCAUUUACCCAUCAUGCAUUCAUUCAACUGACAAGUCCCAGAUAGUGUGGUGUUUGGAGAUGGUAAAAGACAUUUUCUGCCUCCAUCCUCCACCCUCCGCCUUUCACAUGCAAUCCAAGGAAUGAAGUAGAUAUACCUAGAAAUAAUUUUAACCAUAUGAGAAAUUCUAGUGUCAAGAGACAAUCCAAAUAAUAAUAUCUGUGCCUGAUAACAGGCACAGAAGAAGAAGCACAUCGCUGCCUGUAGACCACCAGGAAGCCUUUUGAAGAGGGUGGUAUCUGAUUUGAGUCUUAAGGAGGAAAGAGGCGUUUGUCAAUUUGGGUCUAAAUUAACUUGACUGUCUUUUGUCCCUUUUUCUCUGAUUGGCACACCAGUUGUCAAGAGCAAGAGCUGUGUGUCCAGUUUCUUUAUAUACCAAGCGUCUGGCUCAGUGCCUGGUUCACAGUAACCACCUGCCAUAUUUUAGUUGAAUAAAGGAACAAAUCUAUAAACGACUAGUACUGGG
ensembl:lncRNA